rnacentral:rRNA from 1 species
AUUGAACGCUGGCGGCAGGCCUAACACAUGCAAGUCGAGCGAGCGGCGGACGGGUGAGUAAUGUCUGGGAAACUGACUGAUGGAGGGGGAUAACUACUGGAAACGGUAGCUAAUACCGCAUACAAUCAGAUGUACCCAGGUGGGAUUAGCUAGUAGGUGGGGUAAUGGCUCACCUAGGCGACGAUCACUACCUGGUCUGAGAGGAUUACCAACCACAUUUGAACUGUGCCACUGUCCCGACUCCUACUGGAGGCAUCGGUGGGGACUAUUGAGCAGUGUGUGAAAGCCUUCUGCAGCCAUGCCGCUUGUGUUAAGAAGGCCUUCGGGUUGUAAAGCACGUUCAGCGGGGCGGCGUUACCCGCAGAAGAAGCACCGGCUAACUCCGUGCCAGCAGCCGCGGUAAUUC